rnacentral:lncRNA from 1 species
GAGGUGACUUCCGCUGCCGCAAGGCCAGGCUCCCUGGCAGUACUUCUGAUGAGGUGACAUCCUGCAGCGUUCCGCGACCCUUCUGUGUGCUGGUGUUUCGGUGUGUCUUCUCGGGGACCGAGUCUGCAUCUCCGGGGAGAAGAGGGGCACCGCUGGCGUCGGCCGGUCCUCUCUAGCUGGGCUCUGCUUGAGACGGCGCUGCCCAGGAUUCCUGGACCCGUCUCAGCUGCUUGUGGAGCCCUGGAGAGAGUCUAGCUUCCCACGGGAGUCUGUCAGAGGAACGGUGAUGGCAGAUAGCAGUGUCCUAAAGCCUUAAGUGGUAUGCAACUCUGGUUUUGAUGUGCUCUUUUUGCAUAUAUUUCAUUGUUUAUUUACUUAAAGAGUGGGACGUUCCAUAGCUGAUAAAAGGAAUAGGUCAGAAAACUACCUGUGGGAGUAGGGUCACUCCUUCCACCACGUGGGCUUCAGAGUCUUGAACUCAGGUGGUCAGCCUCAGCAGCAGUCGCUCAUACCCUUUGAGCCAUAUCGCAAGGCCAAACUCCCCUUUCCUUAGAGAGGGUUUAGCUUUUUAUUGGUGAUUAUCUUCAUGUAUGUGGGAAAAGAAACUUGGUGGGGGCUCUUGCAGAUGAGCAACGUUUACUAGAAUUUAAAAUUUUUAGAAGGAGAGAAUAUGGGGGUGGGGAUUUCACUACUGUGUAAGGAAAUAGUUAUAUGUAAGAUAGCUGUCACAUUAACAGACCCUUAGAUAGUGGUGGUCAGUUAUGACACAGCGUUCAUCAGAGAGCUCGAGACUUCUUAAACAUUUGUUUUUAUGGAAAGCCCAUCACUACAGGCAGCAUUGUGAAGGUGCGAGUACACGGCAUCCCUGAAGCUGCCAGAAAUAGAGAAUUGUGGGCUUGUCUAACCCUUUGCUGUGAGUGAAGUGAGGCACGCAUGACCUGGUAACCUGGAGCCUUACACUACUGAUUAGCAGGAAGCAGGUAGAAAAGCCUGGUCAACCUGCACAGCCCUUGGGGCUGAUGGAGAAGCUGAGGAAGCCAUGUGGACCAACUGUCCUAGCAGUGUUCUCACGAAGCCCCUCUUCCCCAGCUUGCUUCCCAGAGCCCUGCCUUGUCUCAAAGAGAAGAGAACAAUGACCAAGUUACAGGUAAGUUGGGUUGCUUCCCCCAUCCCCACAGUGCUAGGGAUUGGAAACAUGAUCCCUGCAUGCUGGGCAAGUGCUCUACACAGAGCCUCUCUGAACUGCAUGAAGGAAGAGGGGAAGUUGCUGAGAAGAAAGGUCUGGAAGGAGGAGGGAUAAGAGAGGACAGUGGGACAUGUGCUCAAAGUGCACUGCACUUGGGAAAGUGUACAAGGAUGAGUAAAAAGAAUUUGAAAAAGUGGGCUGGAGUGAUGGCUCAGUAGUUAAGAGCACUAGCUCAGUUUGGUUCCCAGCACUCACACCUGAUAGCUUACAACUGCCUGUAACUCCAAUUAUAUGUAAUUAGAGGAUGUUCAACGCUCUCUUCUAGCCUCCCAGGGCACCUGCACACACACACAUCUACACACAAACAGAUGGUGUACACAUACAUUUUAAAAUCCCUUUAGUUCAUUUACAUUUAAAAAAAUGACAUUUUCCACUAUUUGCCUAAUUUUAUUGUACAAUUCAGUAUGAGGUCUCCAUACUCAUGUGGGUUAUGAAUUAUAUUUUUACUUUAAAAUUUUGUAUUACCAUUAUUGUGUGAGGGGGUUGGUUGUAAGCAUGCCAAGGAGUGCAUGUAGAUCUCACAGGAUACAUUUUGGGAGUCCAGCUUUUUUUUUCCAUCUUGCCAAAGCAGGUCUCCUGUUUCUGGGACUCUGGAGGCAAGAAGAUUCCUGGUACUCACUGGCAGCCAUCCUAGCCUAUUUGGCAAGUUCCAGGCCAGUGAAAGGCCCUAUUUCCGCCCCCCCCCCC